rnacentral:lncRNA from 10 species
GCACACAGAAAAAGGACUGAGCCUGUUUUUCCAGAAAUGAGAGACAAAUUACCCUUUUUCCUAAGGUUGCCUGGACAUUCCAAGAAAGCCUGGUCAAUCUUUGCUGGAUGGACAUGGAAAAUAGACGGUUGAGCACUUACCUUUUGUGUCCAGGAUGCACAGCUAGACAAUGCAUCCCAGCCGCCAUCACUGUUCCGUGGACCACGUGAUUGGCAGAGGGAAGAUCUAUGUCAUUUCCAGCCCUGGCUCUGUCUUCUCCACCCCUUCACACUCUGUCUUUCCACCACUCUUACAAGUGGCUGUGCAGCACUCCCAGGCCGCAUGGGAUGAGGGAAAAUGAUGGCAAAAGACUGGUCCUUAAGUCAUGGCACAGGAGUGACCCACAUAAGAGAACUCCUGGCCAGAGACAUCAACACGAGACAUCACAUGACUGAGAAAUAGUCUUUCAUCAUGUGAAGGCAUUGACUUUUGGAGUUAUUUGUUAUUGCAAUGAAUCUACUCUGACUCAUACAUAUUGCAAGUAUCUGUUGCCUCUUGGCGUGUGUAUGAGUUCGCCUACAUGGCAGAGUCAAUUCUGCUGUCUGUCCCACCAAGCUCACCAAAGCUAUUUGCAUGAAGGAUCCUUCAGUCACAAAACAGUGAGAAGGGCAUGUGAACAGCAUGCAAUCAAAGCAUGUUCUCAAUAUCAUGAGUGCACAGGAGUGGAAGUGUUCAGUUCAACUGUGACCACAGGGAUGAGAGGCCACAUGGCAUGAGGAGGGUAGUGACUCCAAUCAGAUGUGCAACCCAUAGAACCCCAGACUAACUUUUGGACUAUCUUUGCACUUAAGGAAGCAUCAGCCUGGCAUCCAUUAGCAACCCAGAAGCAGUUGGAAUCUGUAUUGCAGUCCCAUCAUAAUGCAAAGCAAAAUUUACAAUUCUUUUCCCCUUCUUCUGAGAUAUAGUGCACACCCUCGGCUGCUUCCCAAGCCUCUCUUCUCCUCUAUGCCAAACCCACCCCCUUAAACCUCUCCCUAAACCCAUUCCAAGCUGUUAUUCUAAACUUCUCCACCUCUUCCUGCCUUUUCCCGACUACUCUUUUGUCCCAGUAAAUAACUCUCCACCUUCUCCUCUGCAAAUCAAGCCGGACUUUCUGGCCUGCCUGGACUUAACAUUUCCUGUUACGACUCAUAGGCUCAAUUCGUGAGUCGAUCAUAGACCCAGAAAGGUCCAAAAAUGAAAACAGAUUCUUCUUAGGGGUGUGUUGAGGGAGUGGCUAUAAAUAUUUACACAUUAUUAUCAUUACUUUUUUUGGAUCACAGAUUGUCAACUCCACUGCUUGUGAGUUAGGCAAUCUUGGGUAAAUUCUUCACCAUCCCUUAGCCUCAAUCUCCUGCCUUGUAAAAUGGGGUUUAUUGACCUUCUCAGGAUUGUGGUGGGGAGUAAAUGAGAUGUGGUAUGUGAACGUAGUUUGCAUAUACCCAGCAGUAAGCAAUGUUUUUUCUGCCCUUUCUGAACUCGUGGCUCCUUUGCUUUAUGUGAGCAGAGUUGGAGGUGCAGGCCUAGCCCAACGACAUAAAGGAAGGUAAACUGAGAUGCCAGUCGUCAGCAGCACCCGGUUUUGAUACCAGCUCCUCUGGAUCUCACUCUUGAGUUCCCUGGUCAACUUUCAAGUGACCUUGAAGGGAGAACUGCAUUUCCCGUGCCUCCAGCAGAGUGUUUCCACCACAAGGGAAACAUGCCCACCCCUUGUCCCCCAGGGUGGGUUGCGAAGGUUAAUGAAUUGGUAUUUGUGAAGUGCUUUGAGAUCUGUGGAUGAAAGGCCCUAUGAAGUCAAAAGCGUUGGGAUGAUUAUUAAAUUGCCUUGCCUGAGGUCAGACAGCGCAGGACUAGGGGAGCUAGAAAGGGAAGACUCGUUUCCUUUCUUCCAUUCCCCUGCUGGAACAACUAAGACCGUAACCUGUUCUUGUUAAGAUGGGCUGUCCCUCUGUGGGUGGAUGUCCUCGGGCCUCACAUCCUGUCUCUUUUAUUCCCAGCACCCUGGUUAGGACCAGGCUCUGGCUCCUCACCAGCCUGCUCAUUGGAAUGCCAGACAGCUCCCUCGCUCUUGGGGAGAGCUCUGGUUUGCUGGGUUUUUAGAAGCUCAGGGAAACUGUCGUGUGAGAGACAGACAUUUUCACUUGACCGUGAGACCCUUCUUGAGAAAGAAGGGGCAGUUUCUCCUGUGCCAGCUGGACACCAAAACAAAGGAGGAGCUUUGCUGUGGCUGAAUUUGGGGGGUUGCAUUCUGCACCAACCAGCUCUUUUCUAAACCCCAUUUUCUUUUCUCUGUCUCUCUCUCUCUCUCUCUUUUGCUUUCUCCAUUCAACCAGCUUGGCAGUUGCAAUAUUUGUUUUCCAAACAUUUCCUCCAUACCUUUGUUUUUUCCUUCUCCCACAUUGGCUGUUGUAUAGACACCUCAUUGCUAUUCAGACACCUGUCACUUUCAGAUGUCAGUGUGGCUGUUGCCACACUGAUUAGUUAAGAUGAAGAAAAAAAUGCAGUGGCAUAUAAAUAAAAACUUAGAGACUGUCACAUUGUUUAAAAAGGGCCCACCUCCCAAUGCCAGAUCUCGGCAGAGCAGCGUCCUUCUCUUUCCUAGGUAACCCAGCUAAGGGGACCACUUAUAAUGUCUUGUUUUUAGUGAUUAAGUGGUUAAUGAUUUAAUGAACUAAAAAAAAAUCUCAUUUGUUGCUUCCCUUGGACUUGGAAAAAACCUCAAAGAGCUGAUUUUCUGUGUACCUCAG